UACGUAGGGGGCAAGCGUUGUCCGGAUUUAUUGGGCGUAAAGAGCGUGUAGGCGGCUUUACAGGUCCGUUGUGAAAACUCGAGGCUCAACCUCGAGACGUCGGUUGAAACCGUAAGGCUAGAGUCCGGAAGAGGAGAGUGGAAUUCCCGGUGUAGCGGUGAAAUGCGCAGAUAUCGGGAAGAACACCCGUGGCGAAGGCGGCUCUCUGGGACGGUACUGACGCUGAGACGCGAAAGCGUGGGGAGCGAACAGG
rnacentral:rRNA from 1 species